AAAGAAUGACUGCGAUGAAUAACCGACCCCUUCAACUUCAGACCAUUCUUUGUAGGAACAGAAGUUGAUGUCAUAUUGACCAUAACAGGUAUUUGUGAAGGAGCAUUUCUUUCAUCGGUUUGAGAAAAGUAUUCACGCAUACCUGUAAUAAAAGAUGAAACAACAAAACAAAAGUAAAAUACGAGUAUAACAAAAAAGAUCAUAAACCAAUCUGAAAAAAAAUGUUCCAAGAUAAUGAAUAACCCAAUAUCUUUUUCUAGUUACCAAUCUGAAAAAAAUGUUCCAAGAUAGUGAGUGUACCUGAUUUAGUUAGUGGGCCACCACUUUCCUAAAUAGACUAAAUUGGGGACUAAGAUCCUCCUCAUUUCAAAUAAAUAGAUUCUCUCUUUUCUGAUUUAAAUUUAAAAUCAUCUCUCUCCCUUCUGUCAGCGUAAUAUCACGUUCUAACACAUUUUAAAUUGGAUCAUUAAAUAAAGACCCAUUUAUUUAAACGGAGGCCCAAUAAGUAACUCAUUAGCUAGUUGGGUCAAACAGAUGAAUCCAACCUCCCGGUUUUUCUCCACGCGUUCCGUUAAUCAUCACUAACACCAGCAUCAAAUCUCCACCGUUAACUGUACUUACUCCCAUUCACCUAGAUACAUCUACACCGUCAAUUACAGUUCCUGUCCUACUUCGUCCUUUUCACAUUUGGCAGGUAUCUCUGAAUUCUCAUCAUCUUCCUCGAUGACAAAAGCUGCAAGUAAAAAUUUGUUAUUGAGAUCAGCUAGCUGAGCUGAAUUGCUGAUUCAAUUUCAGCUCUUCUGCAACUUUUCAUGGUAUGAUGGUACAAAUAUCGCUCUGAUGGUACAAAUAUCGCUCUGAUUUACUCCUUUGAGAUAUCUAUAUCUAAUGUAUAUAUCUAUAUAUAUAGAGAGAUUUACAUGGGUGAUUGCUAAUGUUGAGCUUGCUUAUGGAUCCGCCGGUGAUUCUUUGUUAAAAUUUGAUAAGGAAUCUAAUUACGAGAAUGUAUGUACCGGCAAUCCGUUCUGUUUGAUCUGAAUUAAGUGAAAACAUCUAAUGAUUUAAUUUUCUAUGCCUUGUGCAAUGAAAAAGAUAAAACUUUUUAUGAAUUAAAAGUCUAGGUGCACCCAAAUCAUGAAGAAAUAUGAGCUUUUAUUUGCACUUUUACUUCCCUGGCUUUUAAGUUUUUCAUAUUUAUUUAAACCAUGCACGGUUUCCUAGAUAGAUGUGAAUGUUAACAGAUCAAUGUGGUGGUAAAUGUCUUUGAACAUUUCCAGCCAGAUAUUUCCCCUGGAAAGGUUGGGGAUUGAGAACUUGCUCCUAUUUUAAAGGAUUUAGGAAAAUUUUUAUUAAAAUACCUUCUGCUUCGUAGGUCAUUUCAUCUAAUUUCUGGACAACCUUGUGUUAUUUCAACCUUAUUCUAUGAGGUUCUUUGGAGACUUUCACUGUUUCAACUCCUCAUUAAGGAAGUGAUACAAAUUGCAAUGUCCUGCUUACUAGUGGAAGGUGGGUUUAUUGAUUAGUGUUAUUACAAGUGCGUAUUCUUACUAUAGUAAGCUCCUUGAUGAGAACAUACUGAUUAAGUUAUUGUUGAGAGUUAUGUUCUGAAUGUUAUAGAUGACAGUUGAUAGAAACACGCUUGUUGAAUGGUGGACUGAUAAGACUUUUUUCUCUAACCUUGAUGUUGUUCUGCUUUGUUUUGAUAGGCACCUAUCAAGGGAAUACUUUCUCUGCAAAGAACUGCUUUGUUUCGGCUUCACAGUGAGAGUUGGGAAAUAGGCAGUAGACUCUUCAGUACCCAGUCUGCAACAACUGGUAUUAGCCCACAGCCUCCACCACCUCCCCCGCCGCCUGAGAAAACCCACCUCGGUGGUCUGAAAGAUGAAGAUCGUAUUUUCACCAAUGUAUAUGGUUUGCAUGACCCGUUUCUCAAAGGUGCUAUGAAAU
rnacentral:lncRNA from 1 species